AUCGCUUCUCGGCCUUUUGGCUAAGAUCAAGUGUAGUAUCUGUUCUUAUCAGGCCCAAAUGACAAACACGAAAGAUAUGAUCUUUUAGAGGCUUUGCAACCCCACUUGUUGGGAAAAGCGCCU
ensembl:snRNA U2 U2 spliceosomal RNA